rnacentral:tRNA from 1 species
AAAAUUAUAAUCAACUAUGAUAUUUGAGUUGCAUUCAAAAGGUGCUUAUUUAAGCUAAUUUUA